AUACCUCUCUGGCAGGGGCGAUUCCAUGACCAGAAGGGUGAUUUCCCCAGCGAGGCUUAUCCAUUGCAGAUGGGCUGACCCCUGUAAUUUCCCCAACUGCAGGAAACUCAACUGCAUAAUUUGUGGCAAAGAGAGACUUCAUAUGAGCUCUUC
rnacentral:snRNA from 1 species